GUCAACUCAAGUUUGUGUAUCCCGGUCCAGUCUACCUUUCCAUCAGGCGGUACAUGUGGAAAUAGAAAAGCAGCUCUCUAAUUAAUCAAAGUCAGAUGUGCCUGAACGCCUGGAGUUGCUGCUGAUCCUUGUCCCAGCUUCUCCUAUGUUCUCGCUCUAUGUUUUUACCUUGAAAACUUCUGCUCUGAGCUGGGAAUGCCUGAAGGGCUUGCACGAUAGAAGGGGCCACAAGCAAGGAAAUGAGGAUGGCUUCUAGAAGCUGGAAAAAGCAAGGAAAUUAAUUUUUCCCUAGAGGCUCCAGAAGGAAGCGGCCCAAAGCAAUUAAGGGAGACCGUCAUCAUCACAGCAGAAUGCAUCCUGUUAAACUAAUUGGAACAUUAGACACUACAAUCUUGGCAAAAUGUACCAACUAUGAAGAGCUGUCACCGUCUUAAUAAUUCUGUGAUGGCCGGAGGAGGACAAAACAGUUGUUGUUGACAAGUGUUUGAUCUUCAUAAGUCUGCUGCUGUGACAAACUACACACUGUAUUUUAUCCUCUACUUCUGUGAUCCUUCACCCAGAUAAGAACCAACACCUGGCAUCUUUUCAAAUUUUCUUUUUUUUUUCCCUUUUACAUCAGUGGCAAAAGUUAAAAAGGUAACAUGAAAAGAAACAUGAAACAGGAAUACUGUUCAAAUUGAAGGACUGUAGUUUCAAGUUUCAAUCCUGUAUCAAAACAUCUCCGCCUUAUCUUCUUUUCCAGUCAUCACAAAUGAUGAGUAUAAAGGGAUACACAAACAUCAGUACAAUGCUGUGUGUGUAUGCAAUCCAAAAAUCACAGCUACAAAAUUAUACCUGACAUAUCAAAAACCGACAGUCACAUCCUCAAGAUUUCCUUCUCUCGUUCCCAUGGACCUUCUUGAUUAAUAAAUCUGACACAUAAAAAGCAUCUAUAUGACUAAAGUGCCAGUUACUGGAAAGACCGUUUUGAUCUAUUUCUCAACUUUUAGAAGAAAUAUUCUCUUUUUCAUGAAUACAGGAUCCGUUCACUGACUGCCAGCUUUCAAAUGACCACCUCUUGAAGUUUAAUUUUAAGUUUUAAAUAAAUAUUGUAUGCAUGCAGAAUAAUUACGAUGCUCUAGAGAGAUACUGUAUAAUGACAUUGAUUCUUUUUUAUCUGAAAAUGCCAAGCCCUUAAGGCAGCAAAGUCUGCAUUUGCUACAGAUGUGGAAAGGUUCAUUCCAUGUGUUAAAUUUCAGAAGGGGCAUGCAUGGCACUUUCAUUAAGACUCUCGUGGUAUUUCCUGAGUAAACUCCAAUUUUCAUGAGUGUAAAACUUAUUUCCAUAAGACUCAUCUGGUCUAAGCAACAGAAAGGAACU